CGUANGGUGCNAGCGUUAAUCGGAAUUACUGGGCGUAAAGGGUGCGCAGGCGGCUUUGUAAGUCAGAUGUGAAAUCCCCGGGCUUAACCUGGGAAUUGCGUUUGAAACUACAAAGCUAGAGUGUAGCAGAGGGGAGUGGAAUUCCAUGUGUAGCAGUGAAAUGCGUAGAGAUAUGGAAGAACAUCGAUGGCGAAGGCAGCUCCCUGGGUUAACACUGACGCUCAUGCACGAAAGCGUGGGGAGCAAACAGGAUUAGAUACCCUGGUAGUCCACGCCCUAAACGAUGUCAACUAGUUGUUGGGCCUUACUAGGCUUAGUAAC
rnacentral:rRNA from 1 species